UACGAAGGGGGCUAGCGUUGCUCGGAUUGACUGGGCGUAAAGAGCUCGUAGGCGGUUUGUCGCGUCUGCUGUGAAAACCUAAGGCUCAACCUUGGGCUUGCAGUGGGUACGGGCAGACUAGAGUGCGGUAGGGGUGACUGGAAUUCCUGGUGUAGCGGUGGAAUGCGCAGAUAUCAGGAGGAACACCGAUGGCGAAGGCAGGUCACUGGGCCGCAACUGACGCUGAGGAGCGAAAGCAUGGGGAGCGAACAGG
rnacentral:rRNA from 1 species